rnacentral:rRNA from 1 species
UACGGAGGAUCCGAGCGUUAUCCGGAUUUAUUGGGUUUAAAGGGUGCGCAGGCGGGGGAUUAAGUCGGCGGUGAAAUUUUGCAGCUCAACUGUAAAAGUGCCUUCGAAACUGGUUUCCUUGAGUGUAGAUGAAGUAGGCGGAAUUUGUGGUGUAGCGGUGAAAUGCUUAGAUAUCACGAGGAACUCCGAUUGCGCAGGCAGCUUACUAAACUACUACUGACGCUCAGGCACGAAGGCGUGGGGAUCAAACAGGAUUAGAUACCCUGGUAGUCCCU